rnacentral:rRNA from 1 species
UUGCUGGCGACCGGCGCACGGGUGAGUAACACGUAUCCAACCUGCCCUUUACUCGGGGAUAGCCUUUCGAAAGAAAGAUUAAUACCCGAUAGCAUAAUGAUUCCGCAUGGUUUCAUUAUUAAAGGAUUCCGGUAAAGGAUGGGGAUGCGUUCCAUUAGGUUGUUGGUGAGGUAACGGCUCACCAAGCCUUCGAUGGAUAGGGGUUCUGAGAGGAAGGUCCCCCACAUUGGAACUGAGACACGGUCCAA